rnacentral:rRNA from 1 species
GUUUACGUCCCUGCCCUUUGUACACACCGCCCGUCGCUACUACCGAUUGAAUGGCUCAGUGAGGCGUCCGGACUGGCCCAGAGAGGCGGGCAACUGCCACUCAGGGCCGGAAAGCUCUCCAAACUCGGUCAUUUAGAGGAAGUAAAAGUCGUAACAAGGUCUCCGUUGGUGAACCAGCGGAGGGAUCAUUA